UUCGCAAUGCCCGAAAGGGUGACGAAGCGACGCCGCGUGUGGGAAGAAGGCCUUCGGGUUGUAAACCACUGUCGGGAGUUAAGAAAUGCAAGGAUAUGAAUAGUGUCUUUGCUUGACUAAGGCUCCGGAGGAAGCCACGGCUAACUCUGUGCCAGCAGCCGCGGUAAUACAGAGGCGGCAAGCGUUGUUCGGAAUUAUUGGGCGUAAAGAGCACGUAGGCGGCUAUGUAAGUCGGUUGUGAAAGCCUUCCGCUCAACGGGAGAACAGCAUCCGAUACUACAUGGCUUGAGUGCGGGAGGGGAGAGUGGAACUUCUGGUGGAGCGGUGAAAUGCGUAGAUAUCAGAAGGAACGCCGGCGGCGAAAGCGGCUCUCUGGCCCAUGACUGACGCUGAGUGUGCGAAAGCUAGGGGAGCAAACGGGAUUAGAUACCCCGGUAGUCCUAGCCGUAAACGAUGGGCACUAAGUAGAGGGGUUUU
rnacentral:rRNA from 1 species